UCCGGGGGGGGCAAGCGUUGUUCGGAAUUACUGGGCGUAAAGGGCUCGUAGGCGGCCAACUAAGUCAGACGUGAAAUCCCUCGGCUUAACCGGGGAACUGCAUCUGAUACUGGAUGGCUUGAGUUCGGGAGAGGGAUGCGGAAUUCCAGGUGUAGCGGUGAAAUGCGUAGAUAUCUGGAGGAACACCGGUGGCGAAGGCGGCAUCCUGGACCGACACUGACGCUGAGGAGCGAAAGCCAGGGGAGCAAACAGG
rnacentral:rRNA from 1 species